rnacentral:tRNA from 1 species
CGGGCACAGCUCGGCGGCGGUGCGGGCGUGCUUCGGGCACACGGGUGGCUGGUUGGUGAGCACCGGCUCGUUGUUCGGUUCGACGGUGCUCGG